rnacentral:rRNA from 1 species
CAAUAGCGUAUAUUAAAGUUGUUGCAGUUAAAAAGCUCGUAGUUGGAUUUCUGUGAGAGUGCCGGUGUCGGCUGAUGCUUGUACGCAGGCGCUCUUACAUCCUUCUGUUAGCUGUUCUUGGCAUUUUAUUGCUGGUUCAGGGCUCAGAUAUUUUACCUUGAGAAAAUUAGAGUGUUUCAGGCAGGCUUAUGCCGGAAUACAUUAGCAUGGAAUAAUGGAACAGGACCUGUGCGUCUCUCGGGGCGCCGGUCUCCGUUAUUGGUUUCGGGGACUAAUGUAAUGAUUAAUAGGGAUAGUUGGGGGCAUUAGUAUUUAAUAGUCAGAGGUGAAAUUCUCGGAUUUGUUAAAGACUAACUUAUGCGAAAGCAUUUGCCAAGGAUGUUUUCAUUAA